CAGGCGAACAGGCAGAGGGAACUGAGAUUUGACUCGGGAACCCCUGCCUGUUCAUGCACCGGUAUUUUAUGAGUAGAGGCCGGGACGCUGUCACUACAAUAGCCACUGUCCUAGUAAAUUAACCGCGCGGGUCAGAAGGGGCUCCAGGAAGGCCAGUGAGAAGGGAGUCCGUGAGGAUUCUGGGAACUGCAGUCCUGGCAUAGAUGAGCUGCGGCGGCAGGAUGGAGAUGUCACUCUGGCCCAGGUUCCCCUCGCAUCCCUGCCUGUUCAGAGAGAAUUGUGUAGAGUUGGAGGGGACUUCUUGCAGGUCCUGGCUGCAGGGAAACAAGAUGGGCUUUGACAUGUAAAUUUUGGAGGAAUCAGACCAGGCAGUGGAAAUUGAUCUUGAGUUGAGGUAACUUCUAGAAGGCCUCCUGGCAGGAUUUCAAGGCAAAUACUUGGGCUGGCCCUAGGGCCAUGACGUUGCCUGAUCCUUCUGCCUGGGGGAGCAGGACUAGGAGGAGGUGUGGCCUUUGGAGAACAGCGGAGACGUGGAGACCAUGAAGACUGUGGCUCAGAAUCAUCAGGCAAAAGGUGAGGGAUUGAACCUGUGUCCCAGCGGUCCAGAGACGCCACUGGUCCCAUUGCCCCACAGUGGGAAUUCCUAGGUUUGCCUUCUAAUGAUGCUGAUGGGCCUCAAGAAAAAAACGGAGGGAAAGCCCUAAACACUGGUGAGUUGGGAUUAUGUUUAUUUAUUUUCUGAAAAGCUGGCUCAUUUUCCAGAGAAUGUGUAUAUCUUCUCUAUCUUGGGAAGGGAAAAGGCCAUCAGCAUUGAGGCAGUUUGUGUCUAUGUUGGGCACGGUGUUGGCCACUUCAUACUGGUUUUUGCAUUUGUGUGUUUUAUUUUCCUUGCUGAACAACAAACCCAAGAUUAAUCUUGUGUCCAAAAAACUUUAAAACAUAAGGUAUAUUUUUGAAAAACUGAAAUUAUUAAAAAUGUAAAAUGUACUAUUAAAUUUCCUGCACAUCCACACUA